rnacentral:tRNA from 1 species
CCCUGAUUAGCUAAGUUGGUAGAUCGCUCCACUGGAGAUGGAGAGGUCCCGGGUUCGAUACCCGAACCAGACG